rnacentral:lncRNA from 1 species
GGAGAUGAUCGGAGGUUGUCGGCUCUUCUGCAUGCUCUUGUCCUGGUUCUUCAAUUUUUGGUCAGAUCUUAUUCACAUAGUAAAGGGAUUUUAGAUUUCAUCUGGCUUGAUGGUCCAAUUUCCCUAUUUUGAAAGGGUAAAAGAAAAGAGAAAAAACUCACAAGCAGCGAACCAUAGGAUGGAGGUAGUAGGAGGCGUCAAUCGAACCAGACAAACCAGAUAAAAUAGAUGACCAUGAGCAGCGGAACUGCAUGCGAUUUAAUCACAAGCUGUGGACCAAACUAGAAGCAAAAAUCAGGUCCAUCACACAUAUGUAGCUGCUAGAUCUUAUGGUGCUUUUAAAAGGUCCCAAGCCUGGAAAACCAUCCGACGUAUUGAGAAUGAG